GAGUUUGAUCCUGGCUCAGAAUCAACGCUGGCGGCGUGCCUAACACAUGCAAGUCGAACGCGAAAGUCCCCUUCGGGGGACGAGUAGAGUGGCGAACGGGUGAGUAGCGCGUGGGUGAUCUGCCCUUUGGUGGGGGAUAACCCGGGGAAACCCGGGCUAAUACCGCAUAAGCCUUCAGAUUCGGUUCUGAAGGGAAAAGUUUUUUGCCGAAGGAGGAGCCCGCGUCCGAUUAGUUAGUUGGUGAGGUAACGGCUCACCAAGACAGCGAUCGGUAGCCGGUCUGAGAGGACGGACGGCCACACUGGGACUGAGACACGGCCCAGACUCCUACGGGAGGCAGCAGUGGGGAAUUUUGGGCAAUGGGGGCAACCCUGACCCAGCAACGCCGCGUGGAGGAAGACGGUUUUCGGAUCGUAAACUCCUGUCCUGAGGGACGAAGAAGUGACGGUACCUCAGGAGGAAGCCCCGGCUAACUCCGUGCCAGCAGCCGCGGUAAUACGGGGG
rnacentral:rRNA from 1 species